AACACAGCCCAUUGCCCUAAGGAAUUCUUAAAAGGCUGGUCACACCCUGUUUAGAAACCAGUCGCUGUCAGGACACACAUGGACAUGAGGGCCCCCACUGAGCUCCUGGUGCUUCUGCUGCUGUCGCUCCCAGGCAUGAGAUGUGACAUCCAGAUGACUCAGUCUCCAGCCUCACUUUCUGCAUCACUGGGAGAAAGUGUCUCCAUGACUUGCCGGGCCAGUCAGGGCAUUAAUUAUGGGUUAGCCUGGUACCAACAGAAACCGGGGAACUCACCUAAGCUCCUGAUAUACGCUGCAUCCACUCUACAAUCCGGCAUCCCAUCGAGGUUCAGAGGCAGUGGAUCUGGCACGGAGUUCACUCUCACCAUCAGCAGCCUGCAAUCUGAAGAUUUUGCCACUUACUACUGCCAACAGUAUAAUAGUUACCCUCUCACAAUGGUACAAGUCAUGACAUAA